rnacentral:rRNA from 1 species
AACUCGCCUGCAUGAAGUCGGAAUUGCUAGUAAUCGCAGAUCAGAAUGCUGCGGUGAAUGCGUUCCCGGGUCUUGUACACACCGCCCGUCACACCACGGAAGUUGGGGGCGCCCGAAGCCACUUAGCUAACCCUUUUGGGAAGCGAGUGUCGAAAGUGAAAUCAAUAACUGGGGUGAAGUCGUAACAAGGUAUC